GAUGAACGCUAGCGAUAGGCCUAACACAUGCAAGUCGAGGGGCAUCACAUGAAGUAGCAAUACGGAUGGUGGCGACCGGCGCACGGGUGAGUAACACGUAUGCAACCUGCCUUCAACAAGGGGAUAACCCGUUGAAAGACGGACUAAUACCCUAUAACACAGGGGUCCCGCAUGGGAAUAUUUGUUAAAGGACAACCGGUUGAAGAUGGGCAUGCGUUCCAUUAGCUAGUUGGCGGGGUAACGGCCCACCAAGGCAACGGAUGGAUAGGGGGAACUGAGAGGUUUAUCCCCCACACUGGUACUGAGACACGGACCAGACUCCUACGGGAGGCAGCAGUGAGGAAUAUUGGUCAAUGGACGCAAGUCUGAACCAGCCACGUCGCGUGAAGGAAGACGGCCCUACGGGUUGUAAAGCUCUUUCGCACGCGACGAUGAUGACGGUAGCGUGAGAAGAAGCCCCGGCUAACUUCGUGCCAGCACCGCGGUAAGUACGCAGCGA
rnacentral:rRNA from 1 species